rnacentral:rRNA from 1 species
UGGGGAAUUUUGGACAAUGGGCGCAAGCCUGAUCCAGCAAUGCCGCGUGCAGGAUGAAGGCCUUCGGGUUGUAAACUGCUUUUGUACGGAACGAAACGGCUCUCUCUAAUAAAGGGGGCUAAUGACGGUACCGUAAGAAUAAGCACCGGCUAACUACGUGCCAGCAGCCGCGGUAAUACGUAGGGUGCGAGCGUUAAUCGGAAUUACUGGGCGUAAAGCGUGCGCAGGCGGUGAUGUAAGACAGAUGUGAAAUCCCCGGGCUCAACCUGGGACCUGCAUUUGUGACUGCAUCGCUAGAGUACGGUAGAGGGGGAUGGAAUUCCGCGUGUAGCAGUGAAAUGCGUAGAUAUGCGGAGGAACACCGAUGGCGAAGGCAAUCCCCUGGACCUGUACUGACGCUCAUGCACGAAAGCGUGGGGAGCAAACAGGAUUAGAUACCCUGGUAGUCCACGCCCUAAACGAUGUCAACUGGUUGUUGGGUCUUUACUGACUCAGUAACGAAGCUAACGCGUGAAGUUGACCGCCUGGGGAGUACGGCCGCAAGGUG